rnacentral:snRNA from 1 species
CUGCUUGCUUAGACAGCACAUACACUAAAACUGGAAUAGCACACAGAAGAUUAACACGACCCUGCAUAAAAUGAUAUGCAAAUUCACAACGUGGUCCAUAUUUUG